rnacentral:rRNA from 1 species
UACGGAGGGGUGCAAGCGUUGUUCGGAAUCACUGGGCGUAAAGGGCGUGUAGGCGGUCUGUUAAGUCUGGUGUGAAAUCCCCUCGCUCAACGAGGGAAUGGCGCCGGAAACUGGCAGACUUGAGUACCGGAGAGGAAGGUGGAAUUCCCGGUGUAGCGGUGAAAUGCGUAGAUAUUGGGAGGAACACCAGUGGCGAAGGCGGCUCACUGGACCGGAACUGACGCUGAGGCGCGAAAGCCAGGGGAGCAAACGGG